AGAGUUGAUCCUGGCUUAGGAUGAACGCUAGCGACAGGCUAACACAUGCAAGUCGAGGGCAGCAUAAAAGUAGCAAUACUUGGUGGCGACCGGCGCACGGGUGAGUAACGCGUAUGCAACCUACCUAUCAGAGGGGAAGUAACCCGGCGAAAGUCGGACUAAUACCGCAUAAAACAGGGACACCGCAUGGUGGUAUUUGUUAAAGAAAUUCGCUGAUAGAUGGGCAUGCGUUCCAUUAGGUAGUUGGUGAGGUAACGGCUCACCAAGCCGACGAUGGAUAGGGAACUGAGAGGUUGGUCCCCCACACUGGUACUGAGACACGGACCAGACUCCUACGGGAGGCUAGCAGUGAGGAAUAUUGGUCAAUGGGCGAGAGCCUGAACCAGCCAAGUCGCCGUGAAGGAAGAAGGAUCUAUGGUUCGUAAACUUCUUUUGCAGGGGAAUAAAGUGCAGGACGUGUCCUGUUUUGUAUGUACCCUGAGAAUAAGGAUCGGCUAACUCCGUGCCAGCAGCCGC
rnacentral:rRNA from 1 species